rnacentral:rRNA from 1 species
AGCCGAGAGUGGAUAGAGCAAGCCACACGAGUGCACAGAUUCCAGGCAGCGGCGACGCUCCACUUCACCACCGCACCUUCUGCCGACUACUCCUCGCACGACCACCUCACACCUUGCCCCUCCUCUGACUCAGACGUUCUCCCUCUUUGCCUUGCUCCAUCGUCCCCAUCAAGAAUCACAGGUCCCUUCUCUCCAACUUGGGAGGCGCCGCAGUGCAGCAGAGGUAAUCCCAGCACCGCUGCUGAUGGUCGCCAUCGCCACAUCCCAUUCUCUUUCGCCUCGCACUCAGGUACUUCUGGCCUCCACUGCCUCGCAUCUUCUACCCCUGUCGGACGCGACCCCCAGGUCACCGGCUGUAGGUAGUCCAUCAGAUUCAGUCAGGCUCGAUUCAUGUUUCUCUUUCUGUUAAGAGUCAAGAUUCAGAUGCUGAUGGAUUGCUCAUGUAUUCAGAUGUUUGCUUUCCUUCCAAGUUCAAAGUCAAGAUUUGCUGAAAUUAAAUUUUCCUCCUUCUGUUUCUAUUAGAGACGUGCUGAUUUUGGUGAAGAGAAAAGUUGUAGUUUGUAACUGGCAAUUUGUGAUAAUACAGAAGGUUAUUUCCUUCUUAGUCGAUGUUUUCAGUUGCAAACGCAUAUGCUAAGUGGGAUCCCGCUUAGUCCCACAUAAUUUUUGUUAGUUUUGGUGGGGUGCCCACUUUUUUAACACCAAACCAUACUGGGACUAGGUGGAUUGUGGUGCGACUCCCACCUACAGUCCCACUUGCAGCCUGAAUUUUAUUAUAUUUCGGAUGCUUUUUUACUUCUGAUGAACCUUUAUAAUUGAUGCGAGUCCUUUUAAAAAAGGUAUUGCGUAACCUAGACAUUAACUUUCAUUAAUAGAAUAAUCACUAACUAUUUGUGUGAAAAUCACACACUGUAUUUCUGAAACAUGGUUACAAGAAAAUAACUAGCUUUUUAAUGUUCAUUUAGGUGCACAUAAGCUUCGGGCCCUCCCUGGCUAAAAUGUCGGUUUUGCAUUUCUGUGGGAACCUUUUGUAGAGUUAUGGGCAAGCCUUGUUCUAGUCCUCCUCUGUUGUAACAAGUUACGAACAGCAAAGCUAAGCACACAGUAGUUAGUUGUACUAAGACCAGCCCCCGCUCCUAGCCCCGCCGGUGGCCACUCUGGCCCCGGCGUCCAC